rnacentral:rRNA from 1 species
UUGAACGCUGGCGGCAUGCCUUACACAUGCAAGUCGAACGGUAACAGGUCUUCGGAUGCUGACGAGUGGCGAACGGGUGAGUAAUACAUCGGAACGUGCCCGAUCGUGGGGGAUAACGCAGCGAAAGCUGUGCUAAUACCGCAUACGAUCUACGGAUGAAAGCGGGGGAUCGCAAGACCUCGCGCGGACGGAGCGGCCGAUGGCAGAUUAGGUAGUUGGUGGGAUAAAAGCUUACCAAGGCGACGAUCCGUAGCUGGUCUGAGAGGACGACCAGCCACACUGGAACUGAGACACGGUCCAGACUCCUACGGGAGGCAGCAGUGGGGAAUUUUGGACAAUGGGGGCAACCCUGAUCCAGCCAUUCCGCGUGAGUGAAGAAGGCCUUCGGGUUGUAAAGCUCUUUCAGCAGGAACGAAACGGUGGCUACUAAUACUAGCUACUAAUGACGGUACCUGAAGAAGAAGCACCGGCUAACUACGU